UACAUUGCACAGUGGCAGUAUAGAAGCCAAUGAGGUGUAUCAGAGGCACGAUUAUUGCUAAUUGAAACCAUAUUAUAUAUUUAUUAUUUUAAAUAUGUUGAUAACUGUAUUUGAACAUAAUUGAUUCCUUUGGAA